UAGUCCACGCCGUAAACGAUGAUUACUCGAUAUUGGUAUUUAUAUCAGUGUCCAAGCGAAAGUGAUAAGUAAUCCACCUGGGGAGUGCGAUCGCAAGGUUGAAACUCAAAGGAAUUGACGGGGGCCCGCACAAGCGGUGGAGCAUGUGGUUUAAUUCGAUGAUACGCGAGGAACCUUACCAAGGCUUAAAUGCAGAACGACAGAUGUGGAAACACAUCUUUCUUCGGACGGACUGCAAGGUGCUGCAUGGUUGUCGUCAGCUCGUGCCGUGAGAUGUCGGGUUAAGUCCCGCAACGAGCGCAACCCUUGUCUUUAGUUGCCAUCAUUUAGUUGGGCACUCUAGAGAAACUGCCGGUGACAAACCGGAGGAAGGUAAGGAUGACGUCAAGUCAGCAUGCCCCUUACGCUCUGGGCUACACACGUGCUACAAUGGUCGUGACAAAGAGUUGCUAGUCUGCGAAGGCAAGCCAAUCUCAUAAACGCGGUCUUAGUUCGG
rnacentral:rRNA from 1 species